CCCGUUUUCUGCAUUAGUUCCUCUGGUGGGUUAGGAGAGGACACUUUAAUUUGACCGGUUUCUUGACGUUGGGAACCUGAGGAGGACGGGCUGCAUCAGUGGUGUGUGAUACGGUAAUGUUCUGUGUUCUCUCCCCCAGGUCGCUCUCCUUCCUGUUAACUGGCAGGUAUCUUCACGUGUUCCUCAGCCUCUCUUCAUCACAGUCUUGUCAACCCGCCGCCAGAAGCUCUUGUGGGUGGGUGUUACACCUCCGCCCCUCCCGAGUGCCCCGACCCCGCCGCCCUCACACCGUGGUCUGUGAUGCCCACUACACCUGCCCAGGAGGCACCUAACAUGCUCCCACAGGUUGAUGACCGCCUCGAAGAGCACCUGACAGGUGGAGACGCUCGCCCCCACCUGGCCACACCUGUCAACAGACCUCAGCUGGUUCACAGCCAAAAAGGCGGAAGUUGAUAUUAUGGCUUGUACUUCUUGCGAAGAGUCGGCAAACAGCGCCAACCAAGCACUAGAUGAACCAAGAGUGCCAAGAACAAGUUCACGUUCUCACUUUCCAAAAGAAAGCGAAUCUCAGGUCCCUGACGUGAUCAGGGACCUGAGUCUCACCAAGUCAGGAGAUGAACUUUUAACAUCACGGCUAAGAGAGUGGAAUGUACUAGGGGGGAACUGGAGGACUUCUGUGUACCGAGAAAGUCGUGCAGAAUUUGGUAUUUACUUUGAUGUUAGUGAAGCAUGAUGUUGGACUGAAGCACGACCCUGCGGAAUGGCGACUGAUCACAGACUGCUCAGUCUCAAGUCUAUAUCUAUAUCUAUCCAAUAUCCAUCCAUACCGUAUUUCCUGGCUAUAUUUAUCCGUACCUCUUGCACAUUCAGUACCAAUAAAAGAAAAUAUGAAAAUGUUAAACAUAUACUUGCCAAAAUCGACUAUGCAGAAUUAAAGUGGGAUGUGUGUGUAAAUUUGAAGAUGUUUGGCUCUUUGUUAGAUUUGCAGGGUGGAUAUACAAAAUAUUGAUGUUUCCUUCCUUCCUUUAUGUAUUUGUGGAAUACCAUGGAUGAUGAAGAUCAUUACCAGAAGGUUCAGUGCCCCCCCCCCACGGCAGGAAGUACAGGUAGGAAUCUUGUCAGACAGCCUCUGAUAGAGCGCGGACAGGUUUUGUUACUCUAUUUGAAUUUGGGAUCUUGAGGUUAUCUUGAGAUGAUUUCGGGGCUUUUAGUGUCCCCGCGGCCCGGUCCUCGACCAGGCCUCCACCCCCAGGAAGCAGCCCGUGACAGCUGACUAACACCCAGGUACCUAUUUUACUGCUAGGUAGUACCUCUAUUGGGAUUGAUAAAAAACUUUGCAAAAAUCUUCGAUUUUGGAUGAAAAACUUUUCAAGAAAUUCGCUUUAUAUUUCCAAAGCUCUCUGAUGCCAAAUUCAUUGAUGGUAUAUUUAUUGGACCUCAGAUAGAUGCGAUCUUGAAGUUAGAAAAACUCGACAGAAAGAUGAGCAACGUGAAAAGAGAAGCAUGAUGUGCCCUGCGCGGUGUAGCUCAUGGAUUUCUAGGAAAUCAUAAAGAUCCUAACUACUGGGAGGAGGUGACAAGGCUCACUAAAAGUAUAAGAACAUGGGCUGCCACAUAUCUCUAAAAUUGUAUCUUUUUGCAUUAGCAUCUUGAGUUCUUCCAUUAAAACUGAGGCGACGUCAGCGAGGAGGUACCAAGGCCGCUGGGAGACUCUACAUGGCCAAUGGUUAGAAAUGAUAAAAGUGUUCACAAAAAUAAACUGCGAUCUUCAAAGCACUUUUAAUUUGUAAAAUAUUCCAUAUUUGUUUAGUAGUUUUAUUAAAUACAUAUAUUAGUAGAUGAUGAGUCACAACAACAUGGAUGAGGAAAAGCUGUGCAGAUCACAACGUUUCGGUCCUUACUACGGGCUCACCAUAGCCCGUGCUACCUGGACCUUUUUGUUCCAGGUAGCGAAUCUUAAAUAACAACGUAUCGGUCUGGACCAUUAUCAGUGGUGAGGCUUGACCUGAUUGUCACACCACUUGAUAAUGGUCCACCAUGGACCGAAACAUCGUCGCUUCUCCAUCUUCUGAGUUGUGGUUUGGUCUUCAAUACAUUUAUUUGGUGUGUUUUGAACAAAUUAAAUAUUAUAUUUGAUUUAUUUUCCUCUCAACCUAAGAAGAAAUAAAGCCAACACCUAGCCCUAGGUAAAGCUUGCUUUAUAUAAAGACUAAAUACAAAACUAUGAUUAUUUCGGUGAUAUUUCGGAAAUAUCGAUGACACGCGGAAGCUAAGUUCAUUUUAAAACUCAACGCCAUAAAUUUAAUAUAAAAACUACUAAAAAAAUAAUAAAAAAUUACGAAAAAUUCAAGUAAACAAAACAUGUGUGGCAUAGUUGAUAAUCAAAUUAGUGGUUAUAUUGAUUUUAUUUCCAGUGCAUUAGGUGUGAAUAUUUGAUUACCGUAGAAUAUUGUGAUGGACUUUGGAGUGUUGCCUCCCCAUAUUCAUAUAUUUUUAUUUAGGCUAAUUAUUUGUUGGUGGGCAGUGGUGGUGGUGGUGGGCAGUGGUGGUGGUGGGCAGUGGUGGUGGUGGACUAGUGCUGGUGGACAGUGGUGUUGGUGGGCUUCUACCAGUGCUGCUUUUACCCAUUCC
rnacentral:lncRNA from 1 species